AUGGGGCCCCCUGUCUCUGUUCUCUGUCACCCUGUCAUUCAGAAGUCUGUGUGCAGUGAGGAUCCAGAAAUAAAUGAUGGGAAUAAAACACACAUACAUAAAACCACCUUUCACGAAUACUGCAAGGUCUCUAAGCUUGGAAAAGGAAAAUGGUUGCUACCACCAGAACUUCCAGCACAAUAUUAAAUAAUACUGGUGAUAUUGGGCAUCUCUGCUUCACUCCUGAAAUUACUGGAAAAGCUUCUAACUUAUCGCAAUUGUAGAUGAUACUUGAUGAUGGUUUUAAAUAAAUACUACUUAUUAUCUUCUUUAUUUUGUAUA
rnacentral:lncRNA from 1 species